rnacentral:rRNA from 1 species
AGCGGAGUUCUUCGGAACAAAGCUAGCGGCGGACGGCUGUGUAACACGUGGGCAACCUGCCUCAUAGAGGGGAAUAGCCUCCCGAAAGGGAGAUUAAUACCGCAUAAGAUUGUAGCUUCGCAUGAAGUAGCAAUUAAAGGAGCAAUCCGCUAUGAGAUGGGCCCGCGGCGCAUUAGCUAGUUGGUGAGGUAACGGCUCACCAAGGCGACGAUGCGUAGCCGACCUGAGAGGGUGAUCGGCCACAUUGGGACUGAGACACGGCCCAGACUCCUACGGGAGGCAGCAGUGGGGAAUAUUGCACAAUGGGGGAAACCCUGAUGCAGCAAUGCCGCGUGAGUGAUGACGGCCUUCGGGUUGUAAAGCUCUGUCUUCGGGGACGAUAAUGACGGUACCCGAGGAGGAAGCCACGGCUAACUACGUGCCAGCAGCCGCGGUAAUACGUAGGUGGCAAGCGUUGUCCGGAUUUACUGGGCGUAAAGGGAGCGUAGGCGGAUUCUUAAGUGAGAUGUGAAAUACCCGGGCUUAACUUGGGUGCUGCAUUUCAAACUGGAAGUCUAGAGUGCAGGAGAGGAGAAGGGAAUUCCUAGUGUAGCGGUGAAAUGCGUAGAGAUUAGGAAGAACACCAGUGGCGAAGGCGCUUCUCUGGACUGUAACUGACGCUGAGGCUCGAAAGCGUGGGGAGC